AAGUCGUAACAAGGUUUCCGUAGGUGAACCUGCGGAAGGAUCAUUAACACGUAUCCACGUAUCAACCAACUGUGAACUUGUUUUCAAUUCUCCCUGAUGUUCUUAAAACAAACAUCAGGCAAACCCCAAUCAUAAACCUAUAUCACAACCUUUUUUGCUAGUUGACUUUUAUAUGUUGUUUGUCUUUCGUACUUCAUUGUACUGAAGCCUCACACACGUUGAUUUAUUUGAACGUUAAAAUUACAACUCUUAGCAAUGGAUAUCUUGGUUCUC
rnacentral:misc_RNA from 1 species